GAUGAACGCUGGCGGCGUGCCUAAUACAUGCAAGUCGAGCGAACAGACGAGGAGCUUGCUCCUCUGACGUUAGCGGCGGACGGGUGAGUAACACGUGGAUAACCUACCUAUAAGACUGGGAUAACUUCGGGAAACCGGAGCUAAUACCGGAUGAUAUAUUGAACCGCAUGGUUCAAUAGUGAAAGACGGUUUUGCUGUCACUUAUAGAUGGAUCCGCGCCGCAUUAGCUAGUUGGUAAGGUAACGGCUUACCAAGGCAACGAUGCGUAGCCGACCUGAGAGGGUGAUCGGCCACACUGGAACUGAGACACGGUCCAGACUCCUACGGGAGGCAGCGGUAGGGAAUCUUCCGCAAUGGGCGAAAGCCUGACGGAGCAACGCCGCGUGAGUGAUGAAGGUCUUCGGAUCGUAAAACUCUGUUAUUAGGGAAGAACAAAUGUGUAAGUAACUAUGCACGUCUUGACGGUACCUAAUCAGAAAGCCACGGCUAACUACGUG
rnacentral:rRNA from 1 species